UACGUAGGGUGCAAGCGUUGUCCGGAAUUAUUGGGCGUAAAGAGCUCGUAGGCGGUUUGUCGCGUCUGCUGUGAAAACUCGGGGCUUAACCCCGGGCCUGCAGUGGGUACGGGCGGACUAGAGUGCGGUAGGGGAGACUGGAAUUCCUGGUGUAGCGGUGAAAUGCGCAGAUAUCAGGAGGAACACCGGUGGCGAAGGCGGUCUGCUGGGCAGUUGCUGACACUGAGGCGCGACAGCGUGGGGAGCAAACAGG
rnacentral:rRNA from 1 species